UGGCGGCGUGCCUAACACAUGCAAGUCGAACGAGAAAGUGGAGCAAUCCAUGAGUAAAGUGGCGACCGGGUGAGUAACACGUGACUAACCUACCUCCGAGUGGGGAAUAACUCCGGGAAACCGGGGCUAAUACCGCAUAACAUCGCAAGAUCAAAGCAGCAAUGCGCUUGGAGAGGGGGUCGCGGCUGAUUAGCUAGUUGGCGGGGUAACGGCCCACCAAGGCGAAGAUCGGUAUCCGGCCUGAGAGGGCGCACGGACACACUGGAACUGAAACACGGUCCAGACUCCUACGGGAGGCAGCAGUGGGGAAUUUUGCGCAAUGGGGGAAACCCUGACGCAGCAACGCCGCGUGGAGGAUGAAGCCCUUUGGGGCGUAAACUCCUUUCGACUCGGACGAUAAUGACGGUACGAGUGGAAGAAGCACCGGCUAACUCUGUGCCAGCAGCCGCGGUAAUACAGAGGGUGCAAGCGUUGUUCGGAAUUAUUGAGCGUAAAGGGCGCGUAGGCGGUGCGGUAAGUCACCUGUGAAAUCU
rnacentral:rRNA from 1 species